AGCUGGAUUCGCUAGUAAUCGCGCAUCAGCCACGGCGCGGUGAAUACGUUCCCGGGUCUUGUACACACCGCCCGUCACACCAUGGGAGUCGGAAAUGCCCGAAGCCGGUGACUCGACCUUUAAGGAGAGAGCCGUCGAAGGCAGGUCUGGUAACUGGGGUGAAGUCGUAACAAGGUAUC
rnacentral:rRNA from 1 species